rnacentral:lncRNA from 1 species
AAUUGCUCGGGUUUACUUGGAGAAAUGGGCAGUGAGAUGUUUGAGCUGCUAUUCAAGGUGAUGGCUUCAGUUACCGGGUCAGCUCUUCUCUGCAAGGCAAAACUGAGACUUGGAAGCCAAGAAGUGCCCAAGGCCAUGUGAGGACCUCAUGCCAGAGUCAGUGUUAGGAUUUCACAGCAUGUGAGCCCUGGUCCCUUCAUCUGUCCCUCUGAGAAGUGCUUGAGUGAGUUGCCACAGCCCAGUCUGAUUUCUGCCUCGCUGGGAGCUCUGCGUGGAUGGUUGGGGGUGAGAGGAGCAGAGUGCUGACCUGGAAGAGCAAGCAUCACAUGUUUCGGUACAGUACCUGAGCUCUGAUCCAGCAGGGGAGAGCCAAGCUGA